rnacentral:tmRNA from 1 species
GGGGGCGACUGGUUUCGACGGGUUUGGUGAAAACCUGGUUGCGUGCUCAGGUGCCCGGCAUCCUGACAAAUCCUGCUGGGAACGUUUCAACUGCCAAUACUGACUUGGCCCUGGCUGCGUAAGCUUCGGCUUACCGCACCUGCCUUAGAUCGUAGCCCUGCUUGAGGCGACCCUAAGGUAUCGCAAAUUCGAGCUGGCCUAGCGUGCUGCUCCGCCACGCCGGGUGAGAUUUAGGAGCUUGUUCGCAGGUUGGGCGACUGCGCCCCUGCCGGCGGAGACCUCAAGCGCAGCCUACGCACGUAGACGCUGGGUAGGAUCCAGGUUCGGACCGGGGUUCGAAUCCCCGCGCCUCCACUA